GUCAUUUUUCGACUUAUACUCCUUGCUUCCAUGGGCUGUGUUAACCAUGACAGGAAGCUGAAUAAUCCGUAAGGAGCAACUCUAUG
rfam:Enterobacteriaceae bacterium symbiont of Maconellicoccus hirsutus isolate DEMHIR genome assembly, chromosome: I